GCCCUGGUGGUGGAAUUGGUAGACACGCAGGACUUAAAAUCCUGUGUCCGUAAGGACGUACGGGUUCAAGUCCCGUCUGGGGUA
rnacentral:tRNA from 2 species